AUUGAACGCUGGCGGCAGGCCUAACACAUGCAAGUCGAACGAGUGGCGGACGGGUGAGUAAUGUCUGGGAAACUGCCUGAUGGAGGGGGUUAACUACUGGAAACGGUAGCUAAUACCGCAUACCAUCGGAUGUGCCCAUAUGGGUUUAGCUAGUAGGUGGGGUAAAGGCUCACCUAGGCGACGAUCCCUAGCUGGUCUGCGAGGAUGACCAGCCACACUGGAACUGAGACACGGUCCAGACUCCUACGAGAGGCAGCAGUGGGGAAUAUUGGACAAUGGGCGCAAGCCUGAUGCAGCCAUGCCGCGUGUAUGAAGAAGGCCUUCGGGUUGUAAAGUACUUUCAGCUGGGAGGCGUUAUCCGCAGAAGAAGCACCGGCUAACUCCGUGUCAGCCGCCGCGGUAAUAC
rnacentral:rRNA from 1 species